rnacentral:rRNA from 6 species
UCUCCGUAGGUGAACCUGCGGAGGGAUCCAUAGC